rnacentral:misc_RNA from 1 species
AAGACUAUAGACCUGCGGAGUACCUGCGGAGGGAUCAUUCAAAAUAAAAGUGAAAUUUUUAUGGCACUUUUAAAACAAUCCAUAUUCACCUUGUGUGCAAUGUUUUUUGAAAGAAGGUCAUGUAAAAAUGACUUUUUUUCUUUUAACUUAUUACAAACACUAUUUUAUAAGAAAUCUCGUCUGAUAACAUUAUUAUUGAAUAACUUAAUUCAUAAAUAUAACUUUCAGCAAUGGAUCUCU